AAAAAAAAAACCAAGUAUAUAUAAACAUAUAUGUCCAUGCAAAUCAAAUUGUGACCUGAGCAAUGGAGCCCAGGCACCAUCCCAACACUAAGGACAAAGAAGGCAGUAGUGUUGCAGAUAAGAUGGAAAAACAGCCUGAGGAGCUAUGUGCACAGCCACUGGGGCCAUGGGAUAAAUGUUUUUUACAGCUCUGAGAGCAAAAAUUGAUGCAGCUGUACCAGAGACUGCAAAGAUAAGGGAGUUUCAAGAUAAAGAGGCCUUGAGAGUCAAAGUAUGUUUGCUGAAGCAAGAUCUACAUACCUUGAAAAUAUCCCUUUGCCUCUCCCAAAGUCUGAAGAGGAGGAAGUGGAAGAUUAACACCUGUAAGCCCAACGAUUGGUAAUGCAGAAAUGAAACAGCAGCAGCAAAUGGCUCUGAUUCUUGCAGGCAUUUCCUCACCAACACCAUUGUGAACUGGGCACACACCUACACCAGAAUAGCAAAAACCUCUGCCUGCUGGGUAUUGUAUGCUCUGAAGUGCACCAAUGAGUUCUUCUGGACAGCCCUGGGGGUUAAUAGGGGGCUAAAAUGGAACUGGCUGGGGGUUGAAGCUGAACCUGGAGGCUGAAGGCUGUCAUCAUCUCUGAAAAAAAAAAUUCUACAAUCCUGUGUCUUGCAUAUUUUUCCACCUGUCAGACCACAAAUCUGUUUCCUUGAGUCUCCACAUGACAGCAUCCUACAGAUAAGUAUAAUUCUUAGAUGUCAAUUAAAAAGGGAAAUGUAAAAAAAAUCAUUGCUGUAACAAUAACAUCUUCCCUAUGUUUGCCUCUACAAGUUUGAUGCUUUCAGGAAUUACAUUUGUCUUAAAUCUGUUUUUAAUUAAUUUUUAUGUGUAAUGUUAUAAAUAAAUCUAAUUUCAUUUUUUUUUGCAUGUGGAUAUACAGUUUUCCAAAUACUCUUUACAGAAAAGACUAUUCUUUCCCCAGUGUAUAUUCCUCAUCCUUUUAUGAAAAACAACUCUGGUAUGGAUCCUGCCUGAUUGUGGUGGAUGAACUUUUUAAUCUGCUGGAGCAGAUGCAGUGAAAGCAGAAGCAAACAGAAGAAACUCAGAAGCAGGACCAUAGCUGGAUCCAUUGAUGCCUUCUCCUUUCAUUGAGACAAUUGUGAGUUUACAGUCAAGGAAUGAGGAAGCUGGACCUCAGAAACUGGCUUCAGAGACUGGCUUUGAGAUAAGGAUCCUCCUACUUGAACCUCCCAUCAGAGAUGAACAGUGGGGGUUGGGAGGGGGAAGAGGAAGAAGAGGAAAAGAAAACAUUAUUCAUUUUAAAAUGAGCCUCAGUGGAAGAGCAGCAAGGAUUCUAUUUAAAGCAUGAGUUCUUUGUCAGGUUGGUGGUGGUGACUUAGGACGAAGCAGCCCAGACGGGAAAGAAACAUCAGUCAGGCGUCAACGGAAACGCCUGUCAAUCAACAGGGUCUCCUGGCCAAUCCUGGAGUUCAGCCAGCUCCCCUACCAAUUCAAAUGGGACAAGGGACUCUAAAAACACCUUUUCCUGUCCCAAGCCCUUCCCUUCCGGCCAAGAGCCCCCAUAAAAUUCCAGUCUGGUCAAGUCCCCACACGUUUUCUCCUCAGACCCUUCUCCUGUCCACUCUGUGGGUCUGAUCGAGUUCCACCCUGGAGUGACAUCUCAAUAAAGCCUCCUUCCCCUCAUUUGGCUUCCUUUUAAAUCUGCCUCCUUUGGUCGCCUCCUGCUACCUGAUCUCACAGUCUUCUUAAGUGUUUACAUUUCCAAAUGUAUAUUUAUCAUUCAGUUUGUCAAUUCACCCAUUGACUCAUCUGGGUCUUUUACCAUGGUGAGGGUAAAUCUGUGAUGCAUUUGAAAAGAACUGAUAUGUGACCAAUGGAUGUUUCAGUUCAUAAAUAAAACAUGUUCUCUUUAA